UACAGGGGGGGCAAGCGUUGUUCGGAAUUACUGGGCGUAAAGGGCCAGUAGGCGGCCAACUAAGUCCGACGUGAAAUCCCAAGGCUUAACCUUGGAACUGCGUCGGAUACUGGAUGGCUUGAAUUCGGGAGAGGGAUGCGGAAUUCCAGGUGUAGCGGUGAAAUGCGUAGAUAUCUGGAGGAACACCGGUGGCGAAGGCGGCAUCCUGGACCAUUACUGACACUGAAUAGCGAAAGCCAGGGGAGCAAACGGG
rnacentral:rRNA from 1 species